rnacentral:rRNA from 1 species
GACGAACGCUGGCGGCGUGCCUAACACAUGCAAGUCGAACGGAAAGGCCCUGCUUUUGUGGGGUGCUCGAGUGGCGAACGGGUGAGUAACACGUGAGUAUCCUGCCCUUGACGGUGGGAUAACUUCAGGAAACUGGGGCUAAUACCGGAUAGGAGCUCCUGCUGCAUGGUGGGGGUCGGACAGCUUCGGCGGUUGGGGAUGGACUCGCGGCUUAUCAGCUUGUUGGUGGGGUAGUGGCUUACCAGGGCUUUGACGGCUAGCCGGCCUGAGAGCGUGACCGGCCACAUUGCUCCUGCGGUACGGCGCAGACUCCUACGUGAGGCAGCAGUGGGGAACAUUGCACAAUGGGCGGGAGCCUGAUGCAGCAGCGCCGCGUGCGGGAUGACGGCCUUCUGGUUGUAAACCGCUUUCGCCUGUGACGAAGCGUGAGUGACGGUAAUGGGUAAAUAAGCACCGGCUAACUACGUG